GACGAACGCUGGCGGCGUGCUUAACACAUGCAAGUCGAACGGAAAGGCCCUGCUUGCAGGGUACUCGAGUGGCGAACGGGUGAGUAACACGUGGGUGAUCUGCCCUGCACUUCGGGAUAAGCCUGGGAAACUGGGUCUAAUACCGGAUAGGAGCCAUUUUUAGUGUGAUGGUUGGAAAGUUUUUUCGGUGUAGGAUGAGCUCGCGGCCUAUCAGCUUGUUGGUGGGGUAAUGGCCUACCAAGGCGGCGACGGGUAGCCGGCCUGAGAGGGUGGACGGCCACAUUGGGACUGGGAUACAGCCCAGACUCCUACGGGAGGCAGCAGUGGGGAAUAUGGCACAAUGGGCGCAAGCCUGAUGCAGCGACGCCGAGUGGGGGAUGACGGCCUUCGGGUUGUAAACUCCUUUCGCUAGGGACGAAGCUUUUUGUGACGGUACCUAGAUAAGAAGCACCGGCUAACUACGUG
rnacentral:rRNA from 1 species